rnacentral:rRNA from 1 species
AGUGAACGCUGGCGGUAGGCCUAACACAUGCAAGUCGAACGGCAGCACAGUAAGAGCUUGCUCUUACGGGUGGCGAGUGGCGGACGGGUGAGGAAUACAUCGGAAUCUACUUUUUCGUGGGGGAUAACGUAGGGAAACUUACGCUAAUACCGCAUACGACCUACGGGUGAAAGCAGGGGAUCUUCGGACCUUGCGCGAUUGAAUGAGCCGAUGUCGGAUUAGCUAGUUGGCGGGGUAAAGGCCCACCAAGGCGACGAUCCGUGGCUGGUCUGAGAGGAUGAUCAGCCACACUGGAACUGAGACACGGUCCAGACUCCUACGGGAGGCAGCAGUGGGGAAUAUUGGACAAUGGGCGCAAGCCUGAUCCAGCCAUACCGUGUGGGUGAAGAAGACCUUCGGGUUGUAAAGCCCUUUUGUUGGGAAAGAAAAGCAGCAGGUUAAUACCCCGCUGCUCUGACGGUACCCAAAGAAUAAGCACCGGCUAACUUCGUG